AUCCCAGUAGUACAGUGCUUAGUAUGCUCACGAAAGUGAUGAGAAACGGAGGUUUGAUUCCUCCCUGGGGUG